AUGGCGGACGGCUCCAAGGACACCAGCAGGCGGCGGAAUCCAGCGGACAAGCUCACCGAAGACCUCCUCAUCGAGAUCCUGUCGCGCGUGCCGUACAGAUCGCUGUGCCGCUUCAAGUGCGUCUCCAAGCGGUGGUGCGGCACCAUCUCCCACCCCCACAACCGCAAGGUGCUGCCGCAGUACCAUCUCCAACACCCCGUCACGGGCUGUUUCUUAGGUCGCCACUUAGCCCAUGUCUCGGCGGGAGGCCGCCCUCGUAUCCGCCCUUCACUCCCCUUCCUGCCUGACUGUCAUCAGUUCCACCUUCUGGACAGCUGCAACGGCCUACUCCUCUGCCGCCGCUUCGAGACCGCUGAUUCGUGGGAAUUUGAUUACGUCGUGUGGAAUCCUGCCACGGAGAAGUGGGUCGUCUUGCCUAGCUUCUUCGGCAACUGGCAGACUGCUCGCUUGGGGUUCGACCCGGCCGUCUCCUCGCACUUCCACGUGUUUCACUUCCUGGAGCACGAAAUAGAUGGGUAUCCUGACGGUGAUGAUUACGAGAGUGAUUGA
rnacentral:rRNA from 1 species